rnacentral:rRNA from 1 species
AUUGAACGCUGGCGGCAUGCCUUACACAUGCAAGUCGAACGGCAGCACGGGAGCAAUCCUGGUGGCGAGUGGCGAACGGGUGAGUAAUAUAUCGGAACGUGCCCAGUAGUGGGGGAUAACUGCUCGAAAGAGCAGCUAAUACCGCAUACGACCUGAGGAGGAAAGGGGGGGAUCGCAAGACCUCUCGCUAUGGGAGCGGCCGAUUUCAGAUUAGCUAGUUGGUGGGGUAAAGGCCUACCAAGGCAACGAUCUGUAGUUGGUCUGAGAGGACGACCAGCCACACUGGGACUGAGACACGGCCCAGACUCCUACGGGAGGCAGCAGUGGGGAAUUUUGGACAAUGGGCGCAAGCCUGAUCCAGCAAUGCCGCGUGCAGGAAGAAGGCCUUCGGGUUGUAAACUGCUUUUGUCAGGGAAGAAAUCCUCUAGGUUAAUACCCUUGGGGGGAUGACGGUACCUGAAGAAUAAGCACCGGCUAACUACGUGCCAGCCGCCGCUGUAACAC